AUGAACGCUGGCGGCGUGCCUCAUACAUGCAAGUCGCGCGCACAGACGAGGAGCUUGCUCCUCUGACGUUAGCGGCGGACGGGUGAGUAACACGUGGAUAACCUACCUAUAAGACUGGGAUAACUUCGGGAAACCGGAGCUAAUACCGGAUAAUAUAUUGAACCGCGUGGUUCAAUAGUGAAAGACGGUUUUGCUGUCACUUAUAGAUGGAUCCGCGCCGCAUUAGCUAGUUGGUAAGGUAACGGCUUACCAAGGCAACGAUGCGUAGCCGACCUGAGAGGGUGAUCGGCCACACUGGAACUGAGACACGGUCCAGACUCCUACGGGAGGCAGCAGUAGGGAAUCUUCCGCAAUGGGCGAAAGCCUGACGGAGCAACGCCGCGUGAGUGAUGAAGGUCUUCGGAUCGUAAAACUCUGUUAUUAGGGAAGAACAAAUGUGUAAGUAACUAUGCACGUCUUGACGGUACCUAAUCAGAAAGCCACGGCUAACUACGUG
rnacentral:rRNA from 1 species